ensembl:lncRNA
UCCCGCCCGCGCCGCCGCCUUUAUAGAAAUGCGGAGCGAACCAAGCUGACGGAACAGGAUGGGGGUGAAACCCCCCCCACGAGGGGCCGUUGGACUCGGCUGUGAGAGACCUGGCGUGGCGCGGAGGGGGCUCCGCCGAGGAUGCUGGGAGUUGUAGUCCGGGGCGGGCCGACCGCCGCCUCCUUUCGUGUAUCCCUGGGACGGGAAAGGACGGGAAGAGACAGCACGGGACGGGGGGAUUGGGCUCGGUGAGGGCGCUUUUGGCGGCGGAAGGAGGCGCCGCGUUGUGACCCGUGGUGCCCGGCGGCGGGGAGGAGCGGCCGGAGGGCUGGGCCGGGCGGUGCCGGGCCCGGGCGGCUGCGGGACGUGCGCGGCUCGCUCCUCGCGUUCGGACCCGGCGCGGCCUCGCGGGGCUGCGGCGGCUCCUGCGCUCCGAGCGCUGCCAGCGCCGGGCUCCGAGGCUCGCUGUGAGGAUGAGAUCCUAAGAGAAGACCCUUAAUUCUUCUGGGCCAACACAUCUGAGAGUGCACCGUGAAGGACUGAUGUGGAUUAGACUAUCCCAGGGUUAAAUUGCCUUUACAAAAUUUAUUUAGGUGGAAGAAGGGGAAAAGAAGGAAAGGGGAGGGGAGGGGACGGAAUAUAUAAAGAUGAAACACCAGCGCUGUUCAUCUUCAGAAGGAUGGUAGUGAGAAAUCAAAUACUUCAAAAAGAAGCAAUUAAGAGGGAGCCAGUCUCACUGCAAGUAUGUUGAGAAGUCAUGGCCUGAAGGUCCCUCAGCCAACAGGGAAUUCACCAAAGGUUUUGGGGCUCAUUUUUUUGAGGCAAAUUACUGUGAAGAAUCAAGACUAAAUUUUACGAAAAAACCACUUGUGUCAGUGCGCUGUCAUUUGCUGAACUGAUUGAGAAUCAGCACCAAAGUCAGGCCUUUGGCCAUAGCUCACAACUUUUUCAUUUAGGCCUUUUUUUUGUUGUUAUUGAGGUUUUGUUUCCAUAUUCCUUUUAUUUGAACAAUGUCUGUGAAAAACCAUUUGCUUUCACAAGGUGGUUAGUUUACACUGGAGGCAGCUGCUCUGUGAGCUCGUGCCAACCCUGUCCUGUCUUUAGAUUCAUUGCAAUCUGGCCAGAUUGUCACAUAUAUUUUUAGUUUAUGAUGACCCUCAAAUACAAUUCCAGCUUCCACACAGUCUAGCUCAGGUUAAUGAACUUCAGGCCAACUAACUUGCCAUUAAUCUUCAGGAAAUGGCCUUCCUCUUUGUAACAAAUGCAAUGUCAAUCAGUGUCCUGUGCUGAAAUCACAGUCACACUGAUCAGAAGCAAACAGUCCCAUGAGCAGAAAUAAAACAUAAAGCCUAAAAGCAAAUUUGACUCCCCCAUUCUUUCUUCCCCUCAAAUGCAAGAAGAAUUUGGUCAGAGAAGGAAAAAUUACUGAUUUGUUUAGUUCUUUGAUACUUCAGCUAAGAACCAAUACAUUCAAAAACUUCCUCACCUUGAAGAGUUCCAAAAUAAAUGAGGAAAAAGAGUCUGAAAAGAAAAAUGCUGAAGCUAAAGCUGCUUUCCCACCUUGGCUUCAGCUAGGAAAUAGCAGUGCACUGUGUUAAAAUGAUCACCAGCAAGACCGAGCAGGGAAGGAAGCCAUGCACACACCUGGCUGAAACAGGAGCAAUUCCAGCGGAA